UACAGAGGAUGCAAGCGUUAUCCGGAAUGAUUGGGCGUAAAGCGUCUGUAGGUGGCUUUUUAAGUCCGCCGUCAAAUCCCAGGGCUCAACUCUGGACAGGCGGUGGAAACUACCAAGCUGGAGUACGGUAGGGGCAGAGGGAAUUUCCGGUGGAGCGGUGAAAUGCGUAGAGAUCGGGAGGAACACCAGAGGCGAAGGCGGCGACCUGGACAGGCACUGACACUCAACUACGAAAGCGUGGGGAGCAAACAGG
rnacentral:rRNA from 1 species